rnacentral:rRNA from 1 species
GGGGGGGGGGGGGGGGGGGGGGGGGGGGGGGGGGGGGGGGGGGGGGGGGGGGGGGGGGGGGGCGGGGGGGGGGCGGGGGGCGGGGGGGGGGGGGAGACAGCGGGAGCUACUUGGUCGGGGGGGAUAACGCAGGGCGACUUACGCGAAUACCGCAGACGACCUACGGGUGAAAGCAGGGGAGCUUCGCACCUUGCGCGAUUGAACGAGCCGAUGUCGGAUUAGCUAGCUGGCGGGGUAAAGGCCCACCAAGGCGACGAUCCGUAGCUGGUCUGAGAGGAUGAUCAGCCACACUGGAACUGAGACACGGUCCAGACUCCUACGGGAGGCAGCAGUGGGGAAUAUUGGACAAUGGGCGCAAGCCUGAUCCAGCCAUACCGCGUGGGUGAAGAAGGCCUUCGGGUUGUAAAGCCCUUUUGUUGGGAAAGAAAAGCAGCAGGUUAAUACCCCGCUGUUCUGACGGUACCCAAAGAAUAAGCACCGGCUAACUUCGUG